GAAUCAAAAAUGCACGGAAACGAUGCCACAGUUAGCUUAGUCUGUCUUCUAACAGCUGCUAAUUGCCAAUAUUCCUUUUCUUGAAUUUGGAAUAUGAGUUUCCCAGAACAAUUUAUAAUAUGACUGGAUUUUAGGAAGUUCGCGGUUGGUGAGUCCCUCAGGGGAUGAUAGACCGGGAAUGUCGAAGAAAGGCUACAUUU
rnacentral:snoRNA from 1 species